UACGUAGGCAGCGAGCGUUGUUCGGAGUUACUGGGCGUAAAGAGUGCGUAGGCGGUUUCGCAAGUUUGGUGUGAAAUCUCCCGGCUUAACUGGGAGGGUGCGCCGAAAACUGCGGGGCUUGAGAGUGGGAGAGGUAAGCGGAAUUCCUGGUGUAGCGGUGAAAUGCGUAGAUAUCAGGAGGAACACCAGCGGUGUAGACGGCUUACUGGACCGCGACUGACGCUGAGGCACGAAAGCGUGGGGAGCAAACAGG
rnacentral:rRNA from 1 species